rnacentral:lncRNA from 1 species
ACAAACUACCUGCUUUGUGGUAUUAUUAUUAUUAAAGAAGCCCAAACAUGUUAAGACAAGCUUCAAUCCAACUACUUGCAUGAGAACCUUCGAGUAUGGGGGGUGGUUGGCACUGGUAUAUACUCCUCUUUAAAUGAUUCUUUCACAACCAAGCUUAAAAAUCAUUGCCAAAAUGAGUAUGCAAGCCAAAGGUUUUCAUGUGAAACAUCAGAUUUCAUUGAAAUAAGUAAAAAGUGUUCUAAAAAUCUGAAGUUAAGUCUGUGAAGAAAGCAGGGCACAGUUUGCAUGUCAAACAAUACUUCCAAGAAUGAAUAAAGGAAAAUCCACAUUGCUCUUCAUCCUCAAGGUGAAGAGAUAAACGUCAACUGCCUGGACAGUCUGAGGAGAAAAGCGUGAUGGAGCAGGAUGAGUGGAGGCUGGGGGAAGACAAAAUAACUACAAGUAGGGGAAUGAUGUAAAGAGGAGCCCGUUCAACAUUCAGAGACUGCCCAGCGAAAGUGACUGCUAGUGCCGGAGGGCCCUGCUCUGCCAAGACAACAGUCAGAUUCAUCUAUUUGUGACGCAAGAUUCUCCUGCACAAGUGAUGCCCUCUCUUGACACAUGACAACACCGAAUGUGCUGUAUUGUAUUGAUACUCUCCUUUUCAAAGAUCCAGGAUGUAUACAAGCCCAAUGACUCAAGAGGAUGGUAUAAAUGGCUGCUUUGAAGAAAUCUACCUUAUUCGAACUGAUUUGAGGAACUUCCUUGCAAAGGGCUCUACCUCCUUCAUGCUCAAUGACUCUUCUCCCUUCUUGAAGACUCAUUGCCUCCAAGGUGGAUAUUUGAAUAUUUGAACCGGGAAAUGGUAAGCUGUAGUAAUGAGUGAAGGACUGCAUGGAAGGUCAAUGAUGUUUGGCUCUUUAUGUUUUGGAGGCUGCUCUAGUUUUUAAUCUUCCUGAAAGGGUUAUUCAACUCUUCUUGUAUUUCCACACAAAUUGUAUUAAUUACUGUAAAAUACACAUGACAUAAAAUUUACUAUUUUAACUAUUUUUAGUUUUAUCAUUUAGUGGCAUUGAUUAUACUCACAUUAUUGUAAAACCAUAACCACCAUCCCUCUUCAGAAUUUAUCUUUCUAAACUAAAACUCUACUUACUAAACAAUAAUAACCUAUCUUUCUCUGCACAACCCCUGACAACCAGGGGCUAUUUUCUGUCUCUGUGGAUCUGAAUAUUCUGUUCUUAUCAUAUAAGGGGAAUAAUACAAGAUUUUUUCUUUUUGUGUAUGAUACCUUUAAGACUUUAUCUCUUUGAAGCUAAACAAUCCCUAAGUAAGAAAUUAAUGCAAUGAUGAUAUCAGAAAUAAACCUAUACAUCCACUGCA